rnacentral:rRNA from 1 species
UGCAAGUCGAACGGCAGCGCGGACUUCGGUCUGGCGGCGAGUGGCGAACGGGUGAGUAAUGUAUCGGAACGUGCCUAGUAGCGGGGGAUAACUACUCGAAAGAGUAGCUAAUACCGCAUACGCCCUACGGGGGAAAGGGGGGGAUCGCAAGACCUCUCACUAUUAGAGCGGCCGAUAUCGGAUUAGCUAGUUGGUGAGGUAAAGGCUCACCAAGGCGACGAUCCGUAGCUGGUUCGAGAGGACGACCAGCCACACUGGGACUGAGACACGGCCCAGACUCCUACGGGAGGCAGCAGUGGGGAAUUUUGGACAAUGGGGGCAACCCUGAUCCAGCCAUUCCGCGUGUGCGAUGAAGGCCUUCGGGUUGUAAAGCACUUUUGGCAGGAAAGAAAUCGCACCAAUUAAUACUUGGUGUGGAUGACGGUACCUGCAGAAUAAGCACCGGCUAACUACGUGCCAGCAGCCGCGGUAAUACGUAGGGUGCAAGCGUUAAUCGGAAUUACUGGGCGUAAAGCGUGCGCAGGCGGUUCGGAAAGAGAGGUGUGAAAUCCCAGGGCUCAACCUUGGAACUGCACUUUUAACUACCGAGCUAGAGUAUGUCAGAGGGGGGUGGAAUUCCGCGUGUAGCAGUGAAAUGCGUAGAUAUGCGGAGGAACACCGAUGGCGAAGGCAGCCCCCUGGGAUAAUACUGACGCUCAUG